UCCUAUUCUUGAUAUAUUUAAAUUUGUGCGGGUUGUAGCUAAAUUAUGGGAUGAGCACUACGAAAUUAAUUGCGGAAAUAUCGAAUCAAGUUAAAGGCGGAAUUAUUUUCGGACACGAAGUAGAAACCUUUAAUUUUCAAUUUUAAUUAGAACAUGAAUUAUUUAUAAAUUUUAUUUAUUGUAAAGAUAUUAUUGGGAAAUGAGGGACUAAUUAAUUAUGAUUAAAUUGUUAAGUAGGGAUUAGUGGUAAAAUAAUUUAAUUAAGGCACAAGUGGGCCCCACCAAUAAUUUUUUUAUGUGUGAAAAAUAAGGUUAUGUAUUAGUGUUAUGUCACACGAUCAUGACAAUGAGUAUAUGAAGUGUAUUAAAAAAAAUAUUUGGAUUAAAGUGAAUUGAGAUCAAAGGAGUUAAUUAUGUGUAAAGUUUAGGGUGUUGGAAAGAAUUUCCAAAAAAAAAAAAAAAAAAGACAAGAAAGGAAACGUACCUUGAUUAGAUGUUCAACCUUUCCACGUGUAGGAUUGAUGCAAAAUGUUAAAAGUAACUCAUAUCAUAUAAGUUGAUCUGUUGCUAUUGUAAGAUGUGUACAAUUCAAUUCAUUUAUAUUACUUAAGGAAAGUGGAUCCCACAAUUCAAAGGCUUUGGAAUUAAUUUGGCAUAGUACUUGAAUCAAAGUCAUUUUUUUUUGACAAGUGAACCGAACUAAACAGCAGCAACUGAAGCAAUGUUUUACUCUUUAUUUCAUGGCAUACACAGUUUACUUUAUUUCAAUUUUUCUUCGUAAAUCUCGAGCUCUCGUCGUCCUCCCUCUCUCGUGGUUGUAGGAGUAGCGUGUUUCUUGAAAGUUCAGGGUAGACUACGCGGUUGUUUGCUUGUAUAAGGCUAAAGGAGCGACGAAGUAAGUUUGGUUAUGGUUGAUCUACGACAGUUGUUUCGGAAGAUAGGUCAUUCGUCUCAUCGUUUCCGCACCUUGGUCAAGUGAAGAAGUUGAAGAAGAGAGAUUUUGGAGAGUUUGGGACUUGAAUUUGGAGUAGCGUAAGAAGCGGAAAAGGUAUGUAAAGCUUUACCAUUAUUUCUUUGGCAUGUCCUAGACAUAAUAGGAUAUGACAUGAGCCUCGGGGACGAUUCUACUCCUAGAAAUCCGAGCUUAGAUUUGGCCCUUUUUUUUUAUUCAAUGGAAUUGAAUUAGAAACUCUAUGUUUUGUUGGAAAAUAACAUAACCAUCUAUAACUUCCACAAAUGGGACCGAAUUACCCUAAGAUUUUCAUAAGUGACUCCAUAAAGCUUAAUGUACGUAAUUUGUGUCCGCCACCUCGGUUGACCCGAGGUGGGCCCACUAUUUUCGAAUCACUCCUAUUGUAUUAUUGACUUGUUUUCGAGCAACAAUUAAAGGAAACUUUUAGUUACUCCCUCAACUACUAAACGAUAAAUGUUUUGAUUAUUCCUUGAGUCUUAUGACAUAUUUUGAAGCGUAAAACGAUCCCGGAAAGAUUAUUUUGACAUAACCCAUCGUGACAUCCGCAAGACAUACACUAUGAUUAUCGUUCGAUUUCUUUUAUAUGAUUUAUCAUUUGAGUUGUUCUAUCGGGUCCUUGUAAAUGUUUUAUAUGAUAUCUUCCGCACGGUAUUCAAAGGAAACUUUUGAUCAUUGUUCUGUUAUAAAACAAAAAGGGUUGUAACUAUUCCAAUGAGUGUUAUAAUGUAAUUGGGUAUGUAAAACGAUUCUAAAGGCUUUAUUUUGAUACCAUCCAUCGUGCCAUCCAAAAGGUAUAUAUAUAUGUACAUUAUGACUAUCGUCCGAUUCCUUCGAACUGAUCUGUCGUUUGGAAUUGCUUUGGAAUGUUCGUAAAAGCUCUGUGGUAAGAAUGCCCGUAACUUUCACAUACUAAUUUCGAUUGACUCAGAACGUGUUUGUGAUCUUCGGUAUUGGCAAGUGUUCGUAUCUAUCGAGUCUGGAUAUGUAGCAUUUAGUUUCUCACUACUCUGCUCGUGCAUGUGCUAUGACCUCUUUCACCGGGUCCCGGGCCGGUAUGUAUCGUGCGGAUGGUUCGCCGAGUCCCUUGUUGAGGGCCGGGUUCCAUAUAUGAAUUUCGAAGUAUGAUGUGUCCGGUCCCGGGGUACUGUGUAUAUGUGUCCGGUCCCCGGGUACCGUGUAUAUGUUACGAAGUAUGAUGUGUCCGGUUCCUCGGCGUGUGAUAUGUCCCCGGGGUUACCGUGGUUAUGAUUUGAUGUGUUAUGUGACGGAGAUGUUCGGAGAUAUGAAACUUUCUGGAGUAUGAUGUGUUGUGGCGACCACGUUCCUGUGCCCUGUGCAUGAUUCUGAUAUGCAUCAUUUGUGAUUUAAAAGUAAGUAUUCUGAUAUUUUGGUAAGUUAUUCACUUUCUGUAUUUCUUCUGAAAUAUGGUGUCAGCAUUAUACUAUAUGUAUGGAUCGGGCUGCACGUUCCGCAGCAAUAUUGUAUAUUUAUGGAUCGGGCCGUACGUUCCUCGGCACUAUCACGUUACAAAUAAAUCUGUUAUAUGAUUCUGCUCACCGCGUCCCUCACGGAAGGGCCGGGAUCUGUUAUAUGCAUACGUACGAUACACGAUUCUGAUAUGUUUGUUUGUGUUUGAAAAGUAAACAUUUUGGCAUUGUACCUUCUGCAUUUCUUUUGACAUAUGAUAUCGGCAUAGAUGAUCUGUGUUUGGAAAAUAACCGGUCUGACAUUCUGGACCCGUACUUCUCCUGAUAUAUGGCUUCGGCAUAUAUGCUCCACGAUUGGAAAACAAACCUUUUGGUACUCUCGAUCUAUACCCUUUUCUCUGACAUAUGAUCUGCGUUUGGAAAAUAAGUAUUUUGUUAUUCUGGAUGAUUUGUUUACUUUCUGUACUCCUUCUGACAUGUGACUUAGGUAUGUAUGAUCUGCGUCCGGAAAAUAAGCGUUGGUACUCUGGAUAGUGUACUUACUGUUUGUACUGUCUGUUUCGAUUAUAGUUCAGUUUUCUGUAUUCCAUGCUUUACAUACUCAGUACAUAUUCCGUACUGAACCCUCUUCUUCGGGGGCUGCGUUUCAUGCCGCGCAGGUACACCCAGACUAUGUGCAGUUUUAUAGAAGAUGUUCCAGCGGAGGUGGCAAGCUCCAUUUGCUCCCGGAGUGUUGCCGAGUCAGAGUUUGUAUGUUAUGAUUCUUGGAUUUAUGUUAGAGACUUUGUAGACAGAGUCGUGGGUAUUGGUUGUUAGACUGUAUGCGGCUUCAUCAGCCGAUAUGUCAUUCUGUAUUAUGUAAUAAAUUUUAUAUAAUUACAGAUUUUGUUUAAUUUGAGAGCGAUAAAAGAAUGAUUUCGAAAGCUUAAUAUGCAUUUUACUUUUAUCUGAUUUUCAGAGUCUGAAGAAACUAUGUGUGUAAUAAGAAUCUGUGGGUUCGCUCGGCUCCGGAUGUGGGGUCGGGUGCCCAUCAUACCCUAGGAAUAUUAGGGUGUGACAGUUAUAUUCGACAGUAUGAUGUGUUACGGUUCCCGAGACCUCGCCAUAGGGCCGGGUACCGCUUAUAUACGGCGUUAUGAUGUGAUAUGGCAUAUGAUGUGUUCGAAUGUUGUGAUAUGUUAUGAUGAUACGAUAUGUUCGGAGACUGUACGGAGAUUUGAAACCUUCUGGAGUAUGAUGUGUUGUGGCGCCAGUGUCGGAGUGUCGACCACGUUCCUGAGCCCGAUGCAUGAUUUGAUUUGCAUUAUUUAUAUUUUCAGCACAUGUUUUGAUAUACUAGUUCUGUAUCCAUUUUAUGUACCUCUCACUUCAGUUAUGAUUCGGAUUACUGUACUUAAUGCUUUACAUACUCAGUACAUAUUUCGUACUGACCCCCUUUCUUCGGGGGCUGCGUUUCAUGCCCGCAGGUACAGACGUUCGUUCAGGUAACCCGCCAGUGUAGGGUACUUAUUCUGCUAUUUGGAGUACUCCUUUUGAUCCGGAGCUCAUAUUUUUGGUGCAUAUCUUUUGUGAUACAUGUUUCUGUAUAUUUGAUUAUUUGGGGUACGGCGGGGCCCUGUCCCGCCAUAUGAUUAUGUCAUGGUUUGUAGAGGCCUGUAGACAUAUAUGUGGGUCAUGGGUCAUGUUUGGUCGAAUAUGUUUGUGAUUUGUGCCUUGAGCGGUCCCGUUUGCUAUUAUGGCCAAGAUAGCCCAUAUGUCUGUAUAUAUAUGUAUAUCUGGGCGAUGUGUA